UGUAGAAUCCCAUGAACCAUUGAGUCUUCGAACGAAAGUUGCACCCGAAGCCCUCGGGUCACGGGUACGCCUGCCUGGGCGUCA
rnacentral:rRNA from 1 species